CACACACACACACACAAAACACACAUGUGUGUUUAUUAAAAAAUUAUAGUUGUAGGUUAUUCUAUUACAAAUGUGUGUGGGGUGAAAAAUUAUUUAAAGGCUAUUUUAGUGAUUGCUUGUGAAAAGUAAAUAAUCGUAAUAACUUUACUACAUACAAGUCACAUGAUGGUAAAAAUAAAAAUUAAACUACAAAAUUUAAAAGUCACUUAAGGGAUGCAACACAAUUGUUUACCAGAAAAAGAUUGGGUAGUGAGCGUUGUGUUCACCAGCAGAGAGCGCUAACAGUUACACCGGCUACUUAUUUGCGCGCCACCACUUCCAUCAGUGAAGAACAGAGACGCAGGCCGGCUACAAGUGAAUAUAAAAGAAGAAAUGCACCCUAACAAGUGGAGGCAAAAAAAGGGAAAGAAAACCUUUCGUCGGACGGUGAACCACAAGGUACAGCCACAGUGCCCUGUUCAGGAGGAGGACUGGGAAAAGGAGUUAGAGGAGAUUUCACAGUCCAUAGAGAUGCAGAAACAGCCUCCUUAUGAUUCAAGAGAUGAUUUGAUGACGGACAUAAAGGAGAUUUUCCACUGUAACAUCCAGAAUGACCCAAGCUCUGUCCAGGGACACUACAGCCCAGCAGUCCACCACAUUCAGCCUGUGAAAUGGGUCCGCUGUGUUUAUGCAAUAGUUGAUGAGCAAUUUACAGAUGCUGAAGAAUAAGGCAUUAAGAGAAUAUAUAAUAAUCUUUGAAAUUAUUUCCUUUAAAAUCUGCUGAGCUCAGGAUAAUGUUGUUUUAACUAGUUUAGUGAGCUGUCUGCAUUUAUGUUAUCUAAUUAUCGAUAUGUUGAUAUAUAAAUGCAAAGCAUUCAUAAUUGCCAGUAUAGUUCAUUUUGCAAAUCCAAGUAUUUUUUAAUCUCUGUUUAAGUAUGGUUUUUGAUUGUAUACCUAUAGCGUAAUGCAUUAAAAUGUUAAGCUGCUUUAACAGGAAGUCAAAAGAAGAAAUUGUGUUCUUGUGGACAAUUAUAACACAUUAAUUGGUAAUUAAAGAAAUUGAAUUGAUUUGUGCAGUCGUUUCACAUGAGUUUCCACUAGGUGGCUCUGUUUGCUCAAUCUUUAGAAAAGCUUGAUGCUUGAAUUAAAAAUUGCCACGUGUUAGUCUUGAUUAGACUUUAAUUAGAUGAAUUAAAAAAUUUUCAUACAUAUGAUUUUUUUUUUAAGUUGUCUGCAUCGAGGUAAUGUGAUGGACUUUCUCAGUUGUUCUGUGUAAUUAAAAGCGGUUUGUGUUAGACCAGUGUUUCCCAACCCUGUUCCUGAAGUCACACUAGCAGUACACAUUUUCUACCUCUUCCUAAUCAAACCCACCUGAAUAAACUCAUCAAAACAUAAGAAGAGACUCUUAAUGGGUCAAAUAAUGGAGACAUCCAAAAUAUGUACUGUUGGUGUGCGUCCAGGAACAGGGUUGGGAAAUGCUGUGUCAGACAUCAUCACAUUGACUUUAUGUUCUCUGCCUUUUUUCAGGCUGCUCUCAGAUGUCUAAAUCUUAAUAACUUGUUUAAAAUGUGUUUUUGAACAAAUGUGGUUUAUGAAGUCACUUAAAGAACUUAAAAUUUCACAUUAUCUGGGAUUACAACAUUUCAGAUUAGCUGCCCUGUGUGAUAAGAUUCUUUCUUUUCAUUAAAUUACUAAAUAUUCAUUAAUCCAUUCAUUG